GUCAAUAUGGCCGAGUGGUUAAGGCGUGUGACUUGAAAUCACAUCCCUUCGGGGGCAUAGGUUCGAACCCUAUUGUUGACG
rnacentral:tRNA from 1 species